rnacentral:rRNA from 1 species
AUGGCUAAGAUCCGGGACAGGAAGACGAGGGAUAUUGGCCAAGUCAAAUGCAUCAAGGACGGAGCAGGCCAACUCUUGGUGAAGGACGAAGAUAUUAAGCAUAGAUGGCGGGAGUACUUCGACAAGCUGUUCAAUGGGGAGAAUGAGAGUUCUACCAUUGAACUGAAUGACUCCUUUGAUGAGACCAGCAUGCAUUUUGUGCGGCGCAUCCAGGAGUCUGAGGUGAAGGAGGCUUUAAAAAGGAUGAAAGGAGGCAAGGCGAUGGGCCCUGAUUGUAUCCCCAUUGAGGUGUGGAAAGGUCUCGGGGACAUAGCGAUAGUAUGGCUAACCAAGCUUUUCAACCUCAUUUUUCGGGCAAACAAGACGCCAGAAGAAUGGAGACGGAGUAUAUUAGUACCAAUCUUCAAGAACAAGGGGGAUGUUCAGAGUUGUACUAAUUACCGUGGAAUUAAGCUGAUGAGCCAUACAAUGAAGCUAUGGGAGAGAGUCAUUGAGCACCGCUUAAGAAGAAUGACAAGCGUGACCAAAAAUCAGUUUGGUUUCAUGCCUGGGAGGUCGACCAUGGAAGCCAUUUUCUUGGUACGACAACUUAUGGAGAGAUAUAGGGAGCAUAAGAAGGACUUGCAUGUGGUGUUCAUUGACUUGGAGAAGGCCUAUGAUAAGAUACCGCGGAAUGUCAUGUGGUGGGCCUUGGAGAAACACAAAGUCCCAGCAAAGUACAUUACCCUCAUCAAGGACAUGUACAAUAAUGUUGUGACAAGUGUUCGAACAAGUGAUGUCGACACCGAUGACUUCCCGAUUAAGAUAGGACUGCAUCAGGGGUCAGCUUUGAGCCCUUAUCUUUUUGCAUUGGUGAUGGAUGAGGUCACAAGGGGUAUACAAGGAGAUAUCCCAUGGUGUAUGCUCUUUGCGGAUGAUGUGGUGCUAGUUGACGAUAGUCAGACGGGGGUAAGGAGGAAGUUAGAGUUAUGGAGACAAACUUUGGAAUCGAAAGGGUUUAGGCUUAGUAGAACUAAAACCGAGUACAUGAUGUGCGGUUUCAGUACUACUAGCUAUGAGGAGGAGGAGGUUAGCCUUGAUGGCCAGGUGGUACCUCGGAAGGACACCUUUCGGUAUUUGGGGUCAAUGUUGCAGGAGGAUGGGGGUAUUGAUGAAGAUGUGAACCAUCGAAUCAAAGCCGGAUGGAUGAAGUGGCGCCAAGCUUCUGGCAUUCUCUGUGACAAGUGA